rnacentral:rRNA from 1 species
UAGUACCCGGAGGAAGAGAAAGAAAAUUCGAUUCCCUUAGUAGCGGCGAGCGAAACGGGAAGAGCCCAAACCAACAAGCUUGCUUGUUGGGGUUGUAGGACACUCUAUACGGAGUUACAAAGGACGACAUUAGACGAAUCAUCUGGAAAGAUGAAUCAAAGAAGGUAAUAAUCCUGUAGUCGAAAAUGUUGUCUCUCUUGAGUGGAUCCUGAGUACGACGGAGCACGUGAAAUUCCGUCGGAAUCUGGGAGGACCAUCUCCUAAGGCUAAAUACUCUCUAGUGACCGAUAGUGAACCAGUACCGUGAGGGAAAGGUGAAAAGCACCCCGGAAGGGGAGUGAAAUAGAACCUGAAACCGUGUGCUUACAAGUAGUCAGAGCCCGUUAAUGGGUGAUGGCGUGCCUUUUGUAGAAUGAACCGGCGAGUUACGAUUUGAUGCAAGGUUAAGCAGUAAAUGUGGAGCCGUAGCGAAAGCGAGUCUGAAUAGGGCGUUUAGUAUUUGGUCGUAGACCCGAAACCAGGUGAUCUACCCUUGGUCAGGUUGAAGUUCAGGUAACACUGAAUGGAGGACCGAACCGACUUACGUUGAAAAGUGAGCGGAUGAACUGAGGGUAGCGGAGAAAUUCCAAUCGAACCUGGAGAUAGCUGGUUCUCUCCGAAAUAGCUUUAGGGCUAGCCUCAAGUGAUGAUUAUUGGAGGUAGAGCACUGUUUGGACGAGGGGCCCCUCUCGGGUUACCGAAUUCAGACAAACUCCGAAUGCCAAUUAAUUUAACUUGGGAGUCAGAACAUGGGUGAUAAGGUCCGUGUUCGAAAGGGAAACAGCCCAGACCACCAGCUAAGGU